UUGCAGAUCUUGGUUGGCGUAGCAAAGAUCUAACGGAAUAUACUUUUACAGCAUGCAACGUUGGAUACUGGAGCGGGGAAGGAUUUCGUGCCAACGGCACUCGUACACGAGUUGUUCGGAUACUGAGCACAACGUUACACCGUUUUGUUAGGAAAGUGAAGGUGUGUCGGCGACACGCGGUUCUGUACUUGUUUUUCUUUCGGGAAGGGCAGGUCACGCGUGUCGCUGGCCAUAUUACUGAAAAGGGGAACAGAGAACCCAG
rnacentral:rRNA from 1 species